rnacentral:lncRNA from 1 species
GGAUGUUCCAACUAUAAAAUACAUGUAUCAUUUUCACUUCAUCAAUUUGUGUAAAAAAAAAGGAAUAAACAAAUGAAAAUUUCCUGGCCAAUUUUUGUAAAUUUUACAUGUAUAUUUUCUUGAGAGGUCUCUAAAACUAUGGUUGUGACAAGCCUAAAAACAGCAUGGCAAAACACUUCUUUUCUUUAUUUGCUGUUGUGAUUGUUUCUUAAGGUGGUACCCAACACUUUCGCUAAAAUUAAUUUGGCUCGUUUAAUUUUCAUAAAAUUUUGACAAAGUAUUUACUUUGACCCUUUAACAAAAAUAUAAAAAUUUCAAAAGUUUUGAACCAACCUUUUUAUCAGAAAAAUUACACUGGUUUUAUAGCAGUUUGACAAACACCAAUUUUGAUCACUGAGAAGCUUCAUGUUCCCUUUACAACACAACGUAAUUAAAACGUUUAAAUGACUUUACAGAGUUAUCUUCCUGUAGUGUUAGGUACCAAUUUAAAAGAUGGCAUGCAACUUUCAAAGAUUUGUAUCUCGUAACAUCAAGAAUGACCAUUCCAUUUCUGACAAGUUUGUAUAUCUGAUUACGCCUGGUGAUGUUUCAUAGCCUGACCGGUUUCGGUCCAAAAAGGACCUUCAUCAGAGGCAGAAUGGUGGAUCAACAUUUGCACCCUAUUUAUAUAGAUAUGGUAACCGGCGGUUGAGUUAACCAGCAGUUCAGAUGAUGACAAGUAAAGCAAACAUGAAAAAUCUGCAUUUAAAAAAACCCAUAACCUUCUAGAGCACAUCAGGCUCAUAUUCUAUUCAUCCUUGGGAUCAUUAAAAAGUUAAACUAGUUGAAUCCAUCUAUUCCAAUUAUCAAGACAAAAAAAAUCAAUGCUUUCUUCUUUAU